rnacentral:rRNA from 1 species
CAAUAGCGUAUAUUAAAGUUGUUGCAGUUAAAAAGCUCGUAGUUGGACCUUGGACCUGGACAGGCGGUCCGCCUCACGGCGUGUACUGUCUUGCUGGGUCUUUCCUCUUGGUGAUCUGUUGUUUCGGCAGCAGGGAACCAGGACUUUUACUUUGAAAAAAUUAGAGUGUUCAAAGCAGGCUCGACGCCGGAAUAUAUUAGCAUGGAAUAAUAAAAUAGGACGUGCGGUUCUAUUUUGUUGGUUUUUGGAAUCGCCGUAAUGAUUAAUAGGGACAGUCGGGGGCAUUAGUACUCACAUGCUAGAGGUGAAAUUCUUAGAUUUUGUGAAGACUAACUUCUGCGAAAGCAUUUGCCAAGGAUGUUUUCAUUAA